UUUUAGCAGCUCGUUAGGUAUUGAUACGCAGCCUUUCUCCAGUGCAGCAUCCGCCAUAUUGUCUACCAGGAGACGCCGAGAGCAUCUGGAGGGCCAUGAGGAAUGACUUCUAGGAUUGCUGUGUCUCCUGAAUAAGCUCCUGGAUGUCCUCUUUCAUUCAAAUUACAAUCAGCCUAUGCUCCACCAUAAAGUCAUCACAUCUGCCUUCAUCAGCUCCACCUUUCAUUUGCUGCUUGGAGGAACCCUCCAAGGUAAUA